GUGCCAGCCGCCGCGGUAAUACGGAGGGUGCAAGCGUUGUCCGGAAUCACUGGGCGUAAAGGGUGCGCAGGCGGGGCAGCAAGUCGGAGGUGAAAGCCCAUGGCUCAACCAUGGAAGUGCCUUCGAAACUGUUGCUCUUGAGUCCCGGAGAGGUUGCCGGAAUUCGUGGUGUAGCGGUGAAAUGCGUGGAUAUCACGAGGAACACCAGAGGCGAAAGCGGGCAACUGGACGGGUACUGACGCUCAGGCACGAAGGCGCGGGGAGCAAACAGGAUUAGAAACCCCGGUAGCC
rnacentral:rRNA from 1 species